rnacentral:rRNA from 1 species
AUGCAGGUUCUGAUCCGCCUUGGCGGAGCCUCUCUGCGCGCAUUAUUGCACACGGGCUCCACCCACAAUUUCGUGUCCACCGCAGCAGCAGAGCGCGUCCAGCUGCCAUUCCAACCAAAGGAGGGCUUGCAUGUUAUGGUGGCUAAUGGCGACUGGGUUCCCUGCUCUGGUGUGUUUCGCCGUGCACCGUUUUCCAUCACUACUGAGGCUUUUGAAGCUGAUUUCUACGCACUACCUCUCGAUGGAUAUGAUGUGGUACUUGGCACCGACUGGCUCACAACAUUGGGGCCGGUCCUCUGGGACUUCAGCCGCCUGUCCAUGACAUUCUGGCACGGGAGCUCUAGUGUUACUUGGCGCGGCAUCGCUGGUGUCAGGACCCCGACUCGAUGUCACAUCGAUCUAGCCGGUAACACUUCAUAUCACUUUGCGGCCUCACGCACGGUGUUCCCACGGGUGUCGCCUUACCUUUGCCCGGGACCGUUUGCGCCUUUUGGCUCACGUAUAUGA